AAGCCUUUGUGGACCAGUCACACUGUUUCCCACAGCAGAUGUGCCAUUUUACACCCCUAACUUCAGUUCACAAGGGCCCAAUUUCUCCCACCAUCAUCUUUUGUCUGUUGUCUACUUAAACGGGGCACAGCUGAGUCAUCCUUUGUCCUGGUCCCACUCUGAAUUCCAGAUGGAAGCACCUUCCAUCAUAAGCCAUCCAUCUUGCUUCCUUGGUGGCCCUGGAAUCUUGCUCUACAUUUUCCAAUUUGUUCAUUCACUCAACUGAUAUUUAUUGAGCACAGCCUAUGAUUUUGUGCUUAAUCCUACCAACUUCCAGAGGAAGUUCCCUGCAGUGUUAGAAGCGAUGCUGCUAACCUUGCUUUACAAUGUUGCCUGGUUUGCUUUGUCUACAUUUUCCAGAGGAAGAAACUGGUUCUUGAGAAGGUUGAAGGUCAUUGGGGCUCAGUGGGGCCUGAGCCAUGCUUUGAGUAACAGGGGCAGCCUUGAACCUGACUCCACAGCGCAGGCUUUAAUUGGAGACCUUUUUUUUUUUUUCUCAGCCCACAGUCACCUUUUGAAUUGCUCAUUUUAAUUCAACUAUGAAAAUCCAACUCCAUUUUUAUGAUGGUGCAUAUCAUUUAAAUGAUUAUUUCAAUUAAAAACGAACUCAGUUUUUAAAUAGCCAUCAAUGGUUUUCAUUAAAAACAAACAAACAAAAAUACCCCAAAAUCCUACAUUUCAAGUCUAAAAGGUUGCUCCAGGGACAAGUCAGCUUUUUCCUAUCUAGGCCAGUUAAAAUCUGGGGUCAUAGCCUCUAGUUAUUUAGAUUGUACUUAUGGACUAUACACUCUUAUCUCUGUUUUGCCAAUAAUAUAGCCAGAAAAGCAAUUUCAGUGCGGAAUCCAUUAGGCUUUGGCCUUGUUUCUUCUCUCUUUGAUCCCAGUAAGAUACCUUUCUCAGUGUUUAGGGAAAAUUAGUUUGAAAUUGCAUCAAUAUAUCACAACUAACAAGAUUAUUUUACUCACUCACACAUUACCUACCUUUGGUCAACUUUUCUCUGCCCCAGUGUAAUGGGACACAGUGAGAAAAUCAAUGCCAGUUCUGACUCUGUUGCAUCACAAGCUGGGAGGUUCUAGGAGGGUUAUUUAAUAAUUAACUUUCUCCUCUGUAAUACAGAACACAUAUUUGUAGUGCAGCCUCAGCUCCUGGUUCUUUGAGAUGCAUUCAACUGUCUCAGACAUCUUCAAGUCUGAGUCAUUUUAUAAACUAAAGUAGAAUUAUCAGAAUAUAUGUGGCCCAAUAGCACGGGGUAUGGCAGGUAAACACAGCAUUUAUAUCAAAGGAGCAUGGGGGUGGGGACACAGCGUUAUCACGUGUGUACAAUUCUGGCACCUGUGACACCGCCCUGCUAGCUAGUUAGUUUUAAUGAAUGCUCUUAACUGCCUAAUUAACUACUGAAGUUUUUUUUUGUUGCCUCCAGAAUAAAUUUAGCAGAACUGAUCUGAUUGAUAGUGGCUGAUUUAAGAAGAAUAUCAGUGAGAAUAGCUCUGACCUUAGAGCCCUUUGGGUUUCAUUUGUUAUCAGCAACCCGCCAGCCUCCUCCGAGCUUCAGAUUGCCUGUCUGAUUCCCAAACAACAUCUCAGUGUGAUAUAAAAACAAAUGCAGGUUGUUUAGCAUCCGUGACUAAGGAAACCCAAGCAGAAACUCCACUUCUGUAGUAGUCUUCCUGCCAGGAGAGCCUCUGAGAACAGGGCUUGGCUGCAUCACUUUUGUGCACAAGAGGAAAAAUCAUUAGUAACUGGUAGGUUUAUAGAUAUUAUUUUUAUAAUAGAAUGCUAAUCCCCUGAAAAAUAUCAAAAAUUAGUGUCCUAGAAUGAACUCUGUGCUUUCCAAAUCUACUUCUAAGAAGGGUUCUAAACACCAAUAGGGUCCGUUUUCCUUCGCUACUCCGAUGGUCUAAUGGGAUAGAUGAAUCAAUGUUUAUAUUUUUAAACCUGUAAAUAUUUUUAUUUUGAAUAUUUUGUAUAUUUGUUGAUAUAAUUCCAUUUUGUGCAUAUGUACUACUGUGCAUGUUGCUGGUUUUGAUAGUCACUCUUUUAACAAAUGUAAACAGGUUGGACUAAUGGGCUCUCUUCUUUCAUUCAUCUUACAAUGAAAAUAUAAUGUUGCCAUUUUAACUAUUGUGUUUAAAUUUGGUCAAUAAAUUCUGUUGCUCCUUUGCAGUUAAAGC
rnacentral:lncRNA from 1 species